AGACACCAGGAGAGAACCUGACUCAGAUGACAACAACAACAACAACAAGUCAGUUUGUCAGAGGCAGCAACCGCGAGCCAGAAGGACCCGCCACAGCCAGAGAAGUGCAGGAGCCAGGUGACGGUCCAGGGUGCUCUCUGAGAACUCAUCUCCCCUGUCUGACGGGCGGGAAGUGUUUUACCUGCCGAAGACAACCUUUCUGCCUCUUCAACAGAUGAUCAACGGCACUCUGGUCUGAGCCUCCUGUCAGCUGUCUUUUGAGACCAAGAGAGUUGACCUUACCUGGUCAUCAACAAAACAGAUCCAGAUUGUGCUUCGGUCUUCGAUCUCGUUAACUGACAUAGCACAGUUCUACAGUUCUAACAUCUCCAUCUCCCAAA